GUGGGGAAUAUUGGACAAUGGGCGAAAGCCUGAUCCAGCCAUGCCGCGUGUGUGAAGAAGGUCUUCGGAUUGUAAAGCACUUUAAGUUGGGAGGAAGGGCAGUAAGUUAAUACCUUGCUGUUUUGACGUUACCGACAGAAUAAGCACCGGCUAACUUCGUACCAGCAGCCGCGGUAAUACGAAGGGUGCAAGCGUUAAUCGGAAUUACUGGGCGUAAAGCGCGCGUAGGUGGUUUUGUAAGUUGGAGGUGAAAUCCCCGGGCUCAACCUGGGAACUGCCUCCAAAACUACUGAGCUAGAGUACGGUAGAGGGUAGUGGAAUUUCCUGUGUAGCGGUGAAAUGCGUAGAUAUAGGAAGGAACACCAGUGGCGAAGGCGACUACCUGGACUGAUACUGACACUGAGGUGCGAAAGCGUGGGGAGCAAACAGGAUUAGAAACCCUGGUAGUCC
rnacentral:rRNA from 1 species